rnacentral:lncRNA from 1 species
AUAAUAUAAGAACCAAAUACUAUUGAAUUUAAAAAGAUUUUGCAUAUUAACAUCGAAAAAUUACACAUAUAUAAUAUCAUUUCUCGAUUAAAAUUAACUUCAUCAGCCCACAUAAUACCACAUUAUUAUUUGAAAAAAGUUCAAUUUGCCCGCUUAUGAUUUAGUGCACUUUCAGUUUGGUAUUCUAUGGUUUGAAAUAUCUCACUUUGCUAUUUUGUGGUUUUACUUUUUUUUCGCCAUUAAAACUGUGAUUAAAUAUAGGAUGCUAAAUUGAUAUAUUUUACAAACCAUAGGAUGCCUAAUGAAAAUAUAGGUUGUUAUCAUAUGGUUUGUA